GAAUUUUGGACAAUGGGCGAAAGCCUGAUCCAGCCAUGCCGCGUGCAGGAUGAAGGCCUUCGGGUUGUAAACUGCUUUUGUACGGAACGACAAGCUUUGGGUUCAUACCCUGGAGCCAUGACCGUACAGUAAGAAUAAGCACCGGCUAAUUGCCAGCCAGCCGCCGCGGUAAUCCGUAGGGUGCAAGCGUUAAUCGGAAUUACUGGGCGUAAAGCGGGCGCAGGCGGUUUUGUAAGACAGAUGUUAAAUCCCCGGGCUCAACCUGGGAACGGCCUUUGUGACUGCAAGGCUAGAGUACGGCAGAGGGGGGUGGAAUUCCGCGUGUAGCAGUGAAAUGCGUAGAUAUGCGGAGGAACACCGAUGGCGAAGGCAACCCCCUGGGCCUGUACUGACGCUCAUGCACGAAAGCGUGGGGAGCAAACA
rnacentral:rRNA from 1 species